GACGUAGGGCGCGAGCGUUGUCCGGAUUUAUUGGGCGUAAAGAGCUCGUAGGCGGUUUGUCGCGUCUGCUGUGAAAACUCGGGGCUUAACUCCGGGCCUGCAGUGGGUACGGGCAGACUAGAGUGCGGUAGGGGAGACUGGAAUUCCUGGUGUAGCGGUGAAAUGCGCAGAUAUCAGGAGGAACACCGGUGGCAAAGGCGGGUCUCUGGGCCGUAACUGACGCUGAGGAGCGAAAGCGUGGGGAGCGAACAGG
rnacentral:rRNA from 1 species